rnacentral:rRNA from 1 species
AUUGAACGCUGGCGGCAGGCCUAACACAUGCAAGUCGAACGAGUGGCGUACGGGUGAGUAAUGCUUGGGAAUCUUCCUUAUGGAGGGGGAUAACUACUGGCAACUGUAGCUAAUCCCGCAUACUAUAGGAUGAGCCCAUAUGGGAUUAGCUAGUUGGUGGGGUAAAGGCUCACCUAGGCGACGAUCUCUAGCUGGUCUGAGAGGAUGACCAGCCACACUGGGACUGAGACACGGCCCAGACUCCUACGGGAGGCAGCAGUGGGGAAUAUUGCACAAUGGGGGCAAGCCUGAUGCAGCCAUGCCGCGUGGAUGAAGAAGGCCUUAGGGUUGUAAAGUACUGUCAGCAGGGAGGCGUUAACCACAGAAGAAGCACCGGCUAACUCCGUGCCAGCAGCCGCGGUAAUAC